rnacentral:rRNA from 1 species
AUUGAACGCUGGCGGCAGGCCUAACACAUGCAAGUCGAGCGAGCGGCGGUCGGGUGAGUAAUGCCUGGGCAUCGCCCAGUCGAGGGGGAUAACAGUUGGCAACGACUGCUACUCCCGCAUACGUUUGGAUUGCCCAGGCGGCAUUAGCUAGUUGGUGAGGUAAUGGCUCACCAAGGCGACGAUCCCUAGCUGGUCUUAGAGGAUGAUCAGCCACACGGGAACUGAGACACGGUCCAGACUCCUACGGGAGGCAGCAGUGGGGAAUAUUGCACAAUGGGGGAAACCCUGAUGCAGCCAUGCAGCGUGUGUGAAGAAGGCCUUCGGGUUGGAAAGCACUUUCAGCGAGGAGGCGUUACUCGCAGAAGAAGCACAGGCUAACUCCGUGCCAGCAGCCGCGGUAAUAC